rnacentral:RNase_P_RNA from 1 species
CAAGCAGGCCAGGUGACCGCGACCGGCAACGCCGGUUGAGGAAAGUCCGCACUCCAUAGAGCACGGUGCCGGCUAACAGCCGGGCGGGGUAACCCGAUGGCAAGUGCAACAGAGAGCAGACCGCCUAAGCAGUUCCCAAGGGGGACUGCCGGUAAGGGUGAAAGGGUGGUGUAAGAGACCACCGGCAGCGGCAGUAAUGUCGCUGGCCAGGUAAACCCCACCGGGAGCAAGGCCAAACAGGACGUUGUCUCUUCGGAGGCAGAGAGUGGCUCGCUCUUCAUUGUCCAGGUAGGCCGCACGAGACGACCAGUAAUGGCCGUCCCAGAUAGAUGGUCACCACCACGCCAGCCGCGCAGACGGCAGGUGUGGUACAGAAUGCGGCUUAUCGGCCGGCUUGCACU